rnacentral:rRNA from 1 species
GAUGAACGCUGGCGGCGUGCCUAAUACAUGCAAGUCGAGCGAAUGGAUUAAGAGCUUGCUCUUAUGAAGUUAGCGGCGGACGGGUGAGUAACACGUGGGUAACCUGCCCAUAAGACUGGGAUAACUCCGGGAAACCGGGGCUAAUACCGGAUAACAUUUUGAACCGCAUGGUUCGAAAUUGAAAGGCGGCUUCGGCUGUCACUUAUGGAUGGACCCGCGUCGCAUUAGCUAGUUGGUGAGGUAACGGCUCACCAAGGCAACGAUGCGUAGCCGACCUUGGAGGGUGAUCGGCCAAACUGGGACGGAGACACGGCCCAGACUCCUACGGGAGGCAGCAGUAGGGAAUCUUCCGCAAUGGACGAAAGUCUGACGGAGCAACGCCGCGUGAGUGAUGAAGGCUUUCGGGUCGUAAAACUCUGUUGUUAGGGAAGAACAAGUGCUAGCUGAAUAAGCUGGCACCUUGACGGUACCUAACCAGAAAGCCACGGCUAACUACGUGCCAGCCGCCGCGGUAA